rnacentral:rRNA from 1 species
GACGAACGCUGGCGGCGUGCCUAAUACAUGCAAGUAGAACGCACGGUUUAUACCGUAGCUUGCUACACCAUAGACUGUGAGUUGCGAACGGGUGAGUAACGCGUAGGUAACCUGCCUGGUAGCGGGGGAUAACUAUUGGAAACGAUAGCUAAUACCGCAUAAUAUUAAUUAUUGCAUGAUAAUUAAUUGAAAGGUGCAAUUGCACCACUACCAGAUGGACCUGCGUUGUAUUAGCUAGUAGGUGAGGUAACGGCUCACCUAGGCGACGAUACAUAGCCGACCUGAGAGGGUGAUCGGCCACACUGGGACUGAGACACGGCCCAGACUCCUACGGGAGGCAGCAGUAGGGAAUCUUCGGCAAUGGACGAAAGUCUGACCGAGCAACGCCGCGUGAGUGAAGAAGGUUUUCGGAUCGUAAAGCUCUGUUGUAAGAGAAGAACGGGUGUGAGAGUGGAAAGUUCACACUGUGACGGUAUCUUACCAGAAAGGGGCGGCUAACUACGUG